ensembl:lncRNA
AUGGCAUUUAAAACCCUGGCUCAGUUUGUGGUUCUUGGUUGCUCCUGGAUUCUGGGUUUCUUCUCUAAUGGCAGUGAGGUUCUGGAGAUCCUCUUCCUGGUCUUGAACUCCCAGCAGGGAACCUUCAUCUUCCUGAUCUACUGUGUCCUCAAUAAUGAGGUCAGGCAGCAGUACAGGAACUUCUUCAGAUGUCUUUGCUGUGGACGCAAAAAACACUGAGGACUACAGCAUCAGGUUCAGGAAAUGAGCGAAGUACCAUUGUCAUACAGUAAAAUACCACUACGACAGAAUCAAUGCCUUUACAUGUUACAUGACAGUCUCUGCUUUUAUUUGUAAAUGAGCAAUUUUACAAGUCUUAUUUUAUAGCCAUCAUUCAUUUCGAUGUAAAUAUAUUAACUUCCUUUAACUGGUUUCUUUUUUCUUGUUGGAUAUUUUAGACCCAUGUGUGAUUUAUUGUACUUCAGACCCCUCAAGUGAUCUAUGUUUCCUUUAAUUGCUUCUAUUAUUUGCAAAAAUAUUUAGUGUGAAAAUGGCAGACGAUUUGUAAUUAUUGUGUUAUUGAUAUUAAUCUUCUGCUGGGGCUCUUUCCACGGGGCGAGCAGCUGACUGAGCUUCUUCCUGAGCUCAGCCUUAUAUAGCAGUCGGCACCUUACCUUCAGGAGUUUCCGCUAGCGUCAAAACACUGACACAACGGGAGAGACCGUUCAAUAGGGAACAUAAUUUGUCACACUCCAGACAAGAAGCGCAGCACCACAUUGCAGCCAGAUCAAGACAGCAGUCUAAAGUUGCGUUGAGUUUGAAGUACAGUGUUUGAAACAGAGCAAACAGAAAGAGAAAGUGUGAUCUAUGGCUAUUAUAAAGCAUACAGACAGGCAAACGUGCUAAAAGAUACACAAUUCACAAUCUUCCAGCCUAGGAUUAAGUCAUUAUGUAGGCCUACACAUUAACAAUAAUUUGGGACAAAUAUAAUGUGAUUUUAUGGAAAAUUAUCUGUUUCUGUCUGUGGUGCUGCAGGAUUUUGAACAGCAUCCUGAUUCGCUGUGGACAGGCUUUAUCUUUAACUUAAUGUUAUUAAACUGAAUGUGUGAAGCAAACUGUUAGUUUGUCCACAAAAUAAAAUGACACAUAAAAGAGUGUGCCGUUUAUCA